UCCAUUCACAAUGCGAAUCCUGAGUUAAACAAAACAUUAUUUGAUGAAAUAAUAUUUUGUUUAAGUUAAAGAAUCAAAGCUCAACUUAAUGAAGGUGGAAUUGGGGUAAAUUAGCUUGACCCAAUCAAAACAACAUUGGACAUGUGUUUCAAUCCAUUCACAAGGCAAAGUCCAAGUUAACCAAUUUAUUAUUUUGAGUAAAUAACAUUCUGAGGACCGAUUUGUCCUUUAAAAUCAUUCACUUCAGAAUCGCUUGCCUUUGUUUCUGCGAUUCUACCUAAACUGGUUAAGGUCUAAAGUUAUCAAAAUUUGCCUUUAAAACCCGAUAUUAAUAUUCAAUAUUAAUGCGGGAAUAAGGCUCAUAGCUCUAUCGGCCUAGAGUGGAGCUGAACGAUUAAGCUUUAUGCUCUAAAACAAGCUGUCAGGGCUCAGCAGGCAGAGCCGUGCAGCCUUGCCGGCUCUGCGCUCUCCUCUGCUCACAGGUGACAGCAGCUGACUGGUGGGCGGGACUGACAGACCUGCAGCGAGUUCAGCAGCGCCUCAGCGCACUAUACAAUCAGCGCACGAACAGCGGGAGGGUGCCAGAGUGUUACCUUGUCGCGGUAUGCCUAAAGGCCAACAACCACCUCCAGAGCUUCAGACCCGUGAGUUUUUCUAUCCCCGUCUGGAUCUAAUCUUUGUCUCGUGCAUUUUCUCCAGUGCUCUCGUGUUUUUGGAACCCUUCCCUCGUGUGACUCCACGUUUUGAAGACCAGGCUCCCGAAUCCACAACCCGCUCAGAUUCUGCUCUGGCGACCUUCCCCUCAAACUCGCUUGGUCGUACCAAGUUGGGCACGAGGUUUCCCUCCCCGGAUUCACCCUGGUCACCCCCGGACUCUCCUGGUUCCUCCCGCUGUUCACUCCGGAUCCCUGGACCCGCCGGCGCUGCUCGGACCCUGCCUAACCUCCGCUCACCGGUCACUUUGUCAUCUGCUCCUCAAACAUCAGCUGAGCCCAUCUCACUCCCCCCGGCUUAGUUCCUAGAGCUCUGUGAUCCCGUGUUACCUGCCCGAGUCGGUCCCUGCGUUUCCCCGGUUCUGAGACCCUCCCUGAAUCCUAGCGCUAAGAUCAAUAAAAACUGUUAAAACUG